AUACGGAGGAUCCGAGCGUUAUCCGGAUUUAUUGGGUUUAAAGGGUGCGCAGGCGGGAGAUUAAGUCGGCGGUGAAAUUUUGCAGCUCAACUGUAAAAGUGGCUUCCAAACUGGUUUCCUUGAGUGUAGAUGAAGUAGGCGGGAUUUGUGGUGUAGCGGUGAAAUGCAUAGAUAUCACGAGGAACUCCGAUUGCGCAGGCAGCUUACUAAACGACUACUGACGCUCAGGCACGAAGGCGGGGGGAUCAAACAGGAUUAGAUACCCUGGUAGUCCACGCAGUAAACGAUGAUUACUAGCUGUUUGCGAUACAAUGUAAGCGGCUGAGCGAAAGCGUUAAGUAAUCCACCUGGGGAGUACGUUCGCAAGAAUGGAACUCAAAGGAAUUG
rnacentral:rRNA from 1 species